rnacentral:SRP_RNA from 1 species
AGGCUGGCGCGGACGGGCUCCUCGCCAAUUCGGUCAGGUCCGGAAGGAAGCAGCCGUAACGAGUUUCGGUCCGGGUCGCUGCCGGUCUUCC